UCUACUCUAGUCACACUGAUUUAGCCCUGAAUUGAGUGUCAGCAUUUUUCAGAACGAUGGAUCUGGAGGUCUGAUUUUUCCUGUAUUGAUGAAGAUUUGCAUAGUAUGGAAGUAACAGAAACCUAAAGGAAAAAAUCUGCUAAAAGAAUAAACUGUGUAGGCACAACAGAAAUGAAGAUUACAGAAAAAUACUGUAUUUCAUUAAGCAGAGACAGUGAAGAAACCUUGAAGAAGCAUUGUUCCCUUGCCAGUGUGACCAUUUCUCUACAACCAUUAAGUGUUGAAUUGCCAGUAAUAUGUUACUUCCAUCUGCAAAAUGUUAUGUACAUUUACAUAAUUCUUCAUAACACCAAAAUAAUUAUUUGCAGGGCAAUGAAAUGUGUUCCCUGGCCAUGAGCAUGAGACCUUUGAACAAGAGAAGAACCCGAAAAGAUUUCACAACUGAAGAAAUUAACUGCCUUUUGGAAGGAGUCCAGAAAAUGGGCAAUCACUGGAAUUUGAUUUUGUGGUCUUAUCCUUUCCAGAAAGGACGGACCAGUGUUGACCUUUCCAAGAAGUACUACAGGUUACAGAUGCAGAUGAAAAAAGCACACAAAGGACAUCAAUAACAUCAUCUGAGAGUGUUUUGCAUUUUGUUGCAGAAUUUUCAAGAACAGCCUUUGUAACAGUAAGGUAUUGCCAGAACAACUUGAGUCUUUGGAGUAUUUAGGUUGGCUUGGACUCCUGUUUUUCAGUAACAACUAACAGAAUUCUUAUGCAUUGUAAAUUUAAUUUACCAUAACUUGAAGUAAUGCUAUCAUAGGGAACAAAAUAUCAGUAAAAAUUACAGUAAUUUGGAACUUAAUUUAACCUUCUUGAGCACUUGAUUGAUGCAACUUUUGGAUUCACUUUUUGCAGCUUUCUCUAUACCAUUUGAAAGAAAUGGCUGUAUUCUAAAAUGAGUACUUUAUAUCUGAAACUGCUGUUAAUGUUGUGUCUGAAUCUGUCUCCUCUUAAUAAGUGAAAUGUUUAAAGCAGGUGGAAUAUUUUGUCAUGCAUUGAAUAUGCUGCACGUGCAGAAAAAUGUCUCUGAGAAAACACUGAAUGUGUGGUUGAACACUUGCUGCUCAGAGAAGAAAAAUCUUUCACUGCUACAGAAAUUCUGUACUCACUGUUGAGCUGAAUAGGUACUGAUAGAAUUUGGCUUCUGUUUAUAUUUGGACAGUUUUCUGUUGUAUUUUUCAAGUUAGUGAGCAGAACCACUAUUUCUGCUAAUUACACAUUUUUUAUAGGAAGCUUUACUGAAAGCCUUGGUGACUUGAUUUUUUAGUGAUAGCCUUAGUAUUUCAGUUGUAUUUUUUACUUGUUAUGAUAAAGGAAUGAUGAAUCAAUAGUUAACUUAUUAUGGAAAAGGUUUAGUUAUUGUAUUAGCACUAGAUUUUCAUUAUAAUGUGGCUCAAAUGCUUGAAAACAAGCAAGGUAACCAAAACCUGAGAGAGUUGCAAUAAAGAUGAUACCUAUGAUGCAAUAAAUAUGUCUUCCAAUAUUUUCA